AACGAACGCUGGCGGCGCGCCUAAUACAUGCAAGUCGAGCGAGAAGGUGUAGCAAUACACUUGUAAAGCGGCGAACGGGUGAGGGAUGCAUGGGUAACCUACCCUCGAGUGGGGAAUAACUAGCCGAAAGGUUAGCUAAUACCGCAUACGUUUCCGGAACUUCGGUUUCGGAAAGAAAGCAAUACCGUGGGUAUUGCGCUCCUGGAUGGGCUCAUGUCCUAUCAGCUUGUUGGUGAGGUAACGGCUCACCAAGGCUUCGACGGGUAGCUGGUCUGAGAGGACGAUCAGCCACACUGGCACUGCGACACGGGCCAGACUCCUACGGGAGGCAGCAGUAAGGAAUAUUGCGCAAUGGACGAAAGUCUGACGCAGCGACGCCGCUGGGGGGAUGAAGGUCUUCGGAUUGUAAACCCCUUUCGGGAGGGAAGAUGGAGUGGGUAACCACUUGGACGGUACCUCCAGAAGCAGCCACGGCUAACUUCGUGCCAGCAGCCGCGGU
rnacentral:rRNA from 1 species